UUGGAGGGCAAGUCUGGUGCCAGCAGCCGCGGUAAUUCCAGCUCCAAUAGCGUAUAUUAAAGUUGUUGCAGUUAAAAAGCUCGUAGUUGAAUUUCGGGAUUUAUCCGUCGGUCGGGCUUUUGGGUCUGUACUGGCGUGAUGGAUUCCUACCUUCUGAAUAACCGGCAUGUCAUUAAUUUGGUGCGCCGGGGAAGCAGGACUGUUACCUUGAAAAAAUUAGAGUGCUUAAAGCAGGCUUAUGCCUGAAUACAUUAGCAUGGAAUAAUGAAAUAGGACGGCAUGGUUCUAUUUUGUUGGUUUCUAGGAUCACCGUAAUGAUUAAUAGGGAUAGUUGGGGGCAUUAGUAUUCAAUUGUCAGAGGUGAAAUUCUUGGAUUUAUUGAAGACUUACUUCUGCGAAAGCAUUUGCCAAGGAUGUUUUCAUUAAUCAAGAACGAAAGUUAGGGGAUCGAAGACGAUCAGAUACCGUCGUAGUCUUAACCAUAAACUAUGCCGACUAGGGAUCGGACGAUGUUAAUUUUUUAAUGACUCGUUCGGCGCCUUACGGGAAAC
rnacentral:rRNA from 1 species